rnacentral:lncRNA from 12 species
CCGAGACGCAGUGCCCGGGGCGCCCGGCAGGGGUCGGGCCGGGCCCCGGGGGCGUGGCGGCGGCACCUGGGGCGCGGGGCGCGCGCCUCCCCUGGCUCGCCCCGGGGCCAACCUGGCCGCGUGCGGACCCGGGGCCGUGCUGCUCGCCCGGCGGCCAGGGGGCGGGGACCGACGGCGCCCGGGGGGCGGGCGAGCGGGCGCCCGGGAUGUUCCUCCGCGGCGGCCGGGCGGCGGGGGAGCAAGAGGGGGAGCAGGAGCAGGAGCGGAGGAGGCGCGCGGGGAGAUACCGCUGCCGCCGGCUCGGGGCGACCGCGCGGAGCCCGCGCCGUCCAGGGCCCUCAAGAAGCCCACAGCCUUCCGCAUCUGGCGCUCCGGAGGAGCAGCGGCCUCCGCCGCCGGCCUGCGGGGUGUUCGUCCCGCACCCGCCGCCGGAGCCCCCCUGCGCGCCCAGCCUCACUUCCAGUGGACUGCUCUUUUCCAACCCGUUAACUGCCAAGUUGACAAGAGUUUGGCAGUGACCGGGGCCUUCGAUUAUGGAUUCAGUAGACAUUAACUGCAUGUAUACAGUAAGCAUAGUACUAUGAGGGAGAUAAAGGACUAAGAAUUAACAUAAACUCUUGCAAGGUUUAAAGUGACAAGGUGGUUACACUGGAAAUUUCAGCACAGAAAUGUUACUCAACUAGCUCAAAAGAUGGCUUUUAGCAAGCUCAACUCUGAUUUAUUAUCGAAAAUCCCAACACAGGAAAAAAAAUUCUCUGAGCAGCAAAUAUAGCUGUUUUGAAGUUUCUAAUCCUUUUUUCUGUACAGGAUGCUAAAGCCAUCCCUAAGGCCAGACCAUAUCAAUUUAGCAUUAUGUCUACGAAGGCACUGAUCUAAAAACCUUGGCUCUCCCAUUUACCCUGCAGUUCUUUCUAAGUCUGUAAGAUCAGAAACCUUUAACAUCAGCUCAUAACAAGAGAUGAGACCAUACAGAAAUCUCCCAGCCAGCUCAGGCUGUAUAGUGUAAUAAUUUUGUACAUUUUUAAAAGAUAUUAUUUAUUAGAGCGAGAUAGAGUGUGCAGGGGCAGUGGGAGAGGGAGAAGCAGACUCCCCACUGAGCAGAGAGCCUGGCAUGGGGCUCAAUCCCAGGACCCUGGGAUCGUGACCUGAGCCGAAGGCAGAUGCUUAACCGACAGAGCCACUGGCACCCUGAUUUUGUGCAUUUCCAUGAUUCCAAAUAUUAAAGGAAAAGGUGAAUUACAUUCAGCAUACUCUGAGUGCAAAGAAGCACCUACUUCAUCUGGCAAAAAUUGCUGUCAAAAACCAUUACAUUUUUUGAUAAGCAUCCAUCCUUCAGUACUUUCACUUAUGGGGAAAGCGUCCUUUGCUGAUAAUGCCAAAUACCAGAGGGGUUAGGGUGAGAGGAGGAUGUGCUGACAGCAGUGAGGAGGAGAGUGAGAGCCACAGACACCUGCAGAAAGGGGGAGGUCUCCGAGGAGGCUU